GGCGGUAUGCUUAACACAUGCAAGUCGAACGGCAGCAUCAUUUGUAGCAAUACAGAUGGAUGGCGAGUGGCGGACGGGUGAGUAAUACGUAGGAAUCUACCUUAAAGUGGGGGGUAACUCGAGGAAACUCGAGCUAAUACCGCAUAAUAUCUUAGGAUUAAAGCUGGCCCCGGACUUGUUCCGGGGCUGGCGCUUUAGGAGGAGCCUGCGUCUGAUUAGCUAGUUGGUAGGGUAAAGGCCUACCAAGGCGACGAUCAGUAGCUGGUCUGAGAGGAUGAUCAGCCACACUGGGACUGAGACACGGCCCAGACUCUUACGGGAGGCAGCAGUGGGGAAUAUUGGACAAUGGGGGCAACCCUGAUCCAGCAAUACCGCGUGUGUGAAGAAGGCCUUCGGGUUGUAAAGCACUUUAGGUGGGGAAGAAGGCCUAUAGUUUAAGAGAUGAUAGGUUUGACUGUACCCCGCAGAAUAAGCACCGGCUAACUCUGUGCCAGCAGCCGCGGUAAUACAGANGGUGCAAGCGUUAAUC
rnacentral:rRNA from 1 species